GAUGCACUAAAACAAGACACAGUACAGAUGAAACAGAAUAUAUGCAUCACAUUUAUUUCUUGCCACUGUCCUCUACAUUACAUGGAGACAUGCUUUCCAAUACCGGCUGCAAAUGAGUAGCAAAUCGCCUACAAUCAGCAACGGCAAGAAAGUAGAACAGCAAGGCUGGUUAAAUAAGCUGAGUAAUUCAUUUAGUGAAGACAGCCAUAAACAGCUCUAUCAGCAACAGUUACACUGUCAGCAAAGCCCAAGUCUGAAAGGGAAUGUUGUAUCUGAAGACAGAGAUUAAAUGGAAGAAGAGAAUCCAGAAAAUGGCUUUGGAAGAUUCUGAUGGUAAUUACAUCACCUGCAAAGAAGUCCAGUAGUACAACUGUUGCCUUUUGAACCCUCCAAG